rfam:Picea glauca, whole genome shotgun sequence.
UCAUGUAAUGAUUCCUACAAUGUUAAUGAUUAUGAUCCCAUCAGAACUCCACAAUUAAACAUAUUUGGGCUAGAGUAGUAUUGGGAUGGGUGACCUCCUUGGAAGUCCUAGUGUUACUUGCC